ensembl:snoRNA
GACACUUGCGCUUAUUUGCGGUUAAUUUGUGGACGAAAACCCACAGACAGGUGCAAAAAAACAAAUCCUCUCUUGCAACCCAGAACUCAUUGUUCAGUACAAGUUUUGAUACAGUUAAGAAGGAACAUA